UCCAGGGUAGUCUAGUGGAUAUGGCAUCUGCCCGGUAAGCGGAACAAACAUUGUGGGUUCGAUUCCCAUCCCUGAAC